CCUACGGGUGGCAGCAGUGGGGAAUAUUACGCAAUGGGCGAAAGCCUGACGCAGGGACGCCGCGUGAGGGAUGAAGGUCUUCGGAUCGUAAACCUCUGGCAGCAGGGAAGAACGGUCACUGGGCUAAUCAGCAGUGAAUUGACGGUACCUGCAAAGGAAGCACCGGCUAACCCCGUGCCAGCAGCCGCGGUAAUACGGAGGGUGCGAGCGUUAAUCGGAAUUCCUGGGCGUAAAGCGCUCGUAGGCGGUAUGUCAAGUCAAGGGUGAAAUCCCCGCGCUCAACGUGGGAACUGCCUUUGAACCUGGCAACCUGGAGUGUGUUAGAGGGUAGUGGAAUUCCAUGUGU
rnacentral:rRNA from 1 species